rnacentral:rRNA from 1 species
CGCGUCUAGCAUGCAAGUCGGGCGGCAAGGGGGAGCAAUCCUCCCUAGAGCGGCGGACUGGUGAGUAACGCGUGGGUGACCUGCCCUUAGGUUGGGGAUAGCCCCUAGAAAUAGGGGGUAAUACCGAAUACGGUUAUCUGGUUAUGACUGGAUAAAGAAAGGAGCUUCGGCUUCGCCUGGGGAUGGGCCCGCGUCCCAUUAGCUAGUUGGCGGGGUAAGGGCCCACCAAGGCUCUGAUGGGUAGCCGGCCUGAGAGGGUGAACGGCCACACUGGGACUGAGAUACGGCCCAGACUCCUACGGGAGGCAGCAGCUAAGAAUAUUCCGCAAUGGUCGAAAGACUGACGGAGCGACGCCGCGUGGAUGAUGAAGGCCGAAAGGUUGUAAAAUCCUUUUGUUGCUGAAGAAUAAGCUUUGCAGGGAAUGGCAGGGCGAUGACGUUAGGCAACGAAUAAGCCCCGGCUAAUUACGUGCCAGCAGCCGCGGUAACACGUAAGGGGCGAGCGUUGUUCGGAAUUAUUGGGCGUAAAGGGCGCGUAGGCGGCAGAGUAAGCCCGGCGUGAAAUACUUCGGCUUAACCGGGGAACUGCGUUGGGAACUGCUGUGCUUGAGUCUCGGAGGGGGAGUUGGAAUUCCUAGUGUAGGGGUGAAAUCUGUAGAUAUUAGGAAGAACACCGGUGGCGAAGGCGAACUUCCAGCCGGAGACUGACGCUGAGGCGCGAAAGUGCGGGGAGCAAACAGGAUUAGAUACCCUGGUAGUCCGCACCAUAAACGAUGUACACUAUGUGUUGGGCCGUGCGGCUCGGUGCCGAAGCAAACGUGAUAAGUGUACCGCCUGGGGAGUAUGCCCGCAAGGGUGAAACUCAAAGGAAUUGACGGGGGCCCGCACAAGCGGUGGAGCAUGUGGUUUAAUUCGAUGAUACGCGAGGAACCUUACCUGGGUUUGACAUGGAGAGUAAGUCUGUAGAGAUAGAGGCGCCGAGCAAUCGGACUCUUCACAGUGCUGCAUGGCUGUCGU